GACUUAGGGUUCCUAUGACCAUACGACGGUGGGAUCGUAAAACCAACAGUGGAUUCAAAAGUCUAUUCGGUAAUAUUUACUUGGCCUUUUGAUUGCUUAUCAGAAGUCGAUAUAAUCAAAUUUUGGAAAUAUGGCAUUAAUGAAAACAAGAUCACAAGUGUUUCUGGGCUUUUUUUUUUUUU